GAUGAACGCUAGCUACAGGCUUAACACAUGCCAGUCGCGGGGCAGCAUGGGGGUUGCUUGCACUCCCCGAUGGCGACCGGCGCACGGGUGAGUAACGCGUAUCCAACCUGCCCUUCACCACGGGAUAACCCGGCGAAAGUCGGACUAAUACCGUAUGUUGUCCAUUGACGGCCUCCGAUUUGGACGAAAGGCUUGGCGGUGAGGGAUGGGGAUGCGUCCGAUUAGCCAGACGGCGGGGUAACGGCCCACCGUGGCUACGAUCGGUAGGGGUUCUGAGAGGAAGGUCCCCCACACUGGAACUGAGACACGGUCCAGACUCCUACGGGAGGCAGCAGUGAGGAAUAUUGGUCAAUGGGCGUAAGCCUGAACCAGCCAAGUAGCGUGCAGGAUGACGGCCCUAUGGGUUGUAAACUGCUUUUAUGCGGGGAUAAAGUGGCCCACGUGCGGGCUUUUGCAGGUACCGCAUGAAUAAGGACCGGCUAAUUCCGUG
rnacentral:rRNA from 1 species